rnacentral:lncRNA from 1 species
GUUAAACAAAAAUAAUAUUUCAUUAAUUUAUCCAGACAUUUGGUACUUCCAAUCUACCUUUAUGUAUAUCAAAAUCUCCUCAAUGUAAACAUCCCUUAACUCAAGUUUAAGUUUCAUUGUAUCUCACUUUACACUCCACCACUUGCAAUCAUUAAGUCUGUCAAGCUUAUCAUGUUUCCUAAUUAAGUCUGUCAAGCUUAGCAUGUUUCCUACAUGAGGAAGGAAUUUCAGCCAUUAAAUUAUCUUAUUUAAAAUUCAAUGGCUGAGAUUUUUCUUUUUUUUUUCCUUUUUCUUUCUCCUUUUCCCACUUUGCCCCUUGUUCAAAAUCCUUUUCUCUGUCCCCAAUCUCCUUCUACUCCCCCUCUCCCCUCUGACAGUGUGUGAUUUACAACCAUUCUUCACCACUUCCUUCUUCCUCAUUGUCGUGAAAGCGGCGGCACUCCCCCCUCCGACCAUCAAGCAAGACCACCACGCAUUAGUAUCCAUCUUUCUUGUCCUAUAACUCAAAAGUUACACAUGGCAAAUGGCAGCCACCGUUGACGCCUUACUCACACCCACAACAUUCCACCAUCGAAUACGAAGAGAGAGAAAUAAAAACAAGAACCAUCUUCUUAUCUGAAAUCGAAAAUAACAAGAAGCAUCAUCUUUAGAUCUGAAAUUGAAAACAACAAGAACCAUCAUCUUUAGAUCUAAAAUCGAAAAUAAGAACUGUCAUCAAAUAUGAAAUUGAAAACAAAAGUCAAAGCUUGACGGUCGUGAUCUUGUGAGACAAAGUGUUGUCGUGGUGGUGGCAGAAAUUGAGCCUGAGAGAGUAAGGGAAAUCAAGGUGCAGCGCACUGGACUGUUAGGGGUAGCAGCGGCGGUGGAGGGAGAGUUGUGGUUGUUGCGGUGGGGAGCACGUAGGUGGCGAAGAGAUGACAACGAAGCUCGGUAAAGGCUAUGGCAAUGUGGGUGGGGAUUGCAGACUAAGGUGGCUCAAAGAUUAUAACGGUACGGUGAUUAGGUUAGACCAGAGGUUUGGUGCGUUGUGGUUAUGGUUGGAGUUGGUGGCAUUUUCAUGGUUCGAGGUGGAAGUUGGCACGGUGGGGGUGAUGGUGAUGUGGUGGUGUCCAAGUUGAGAGAGGGGGGACAAAUUUCGAAACAACAAAAAGAUAAAAGAAGAAGAAAUUUCAGCCAUUAAAUUU